CCUACGGGUGGCAGCAGUGAGGAAUAUUGGUCAAUGGGCGUAAGCCUGAACCAGCCAAGCCGCGUGAGGGAUGAAGGUUCUAUGGAUCGUAAACCUCUUUUAUAAGGGAAUAAAGUGCGGGACGUGUCCCGUUUUGUAUGUACCUUAUGAAUAAGGCUCGGCUAACUCCGUGCCAGCCGCCGCGGUUAUACGGAGGAUCCGAGCGUUAUCCGGAUUUAUUGGGUUUAAAGGGUGCGUAGGCGGCCUUUUAAGGCAGCGGUGAAAGUCUGUGGCUCAACCAUAGAAUUGCCGUGGAUACUGGGGGGCUUGAGUGUGUUAGGGGCAGGCGGAAUGCGCGGUGUAGCGGUGGAAUGCGUAGAUAUCGCGCAGAACCCCGAUUGCGAAGGCAGCCUGCCAGGCCAUGACUGACGCUGAUGCACGAAAGCGUGGGGAGCAAACAGGAUUAGAUACCCUAGUAGUC
rnacentral:rRNA from 1 species